CCGCUUCACUAUGACAGGACGGGUGGCUCAGUGGUGAACGCACUGGACUGCCACCAAAAUGACCCGGGUUCGAUCCCCGGUGUUGGCAUAGUAGAAAUUUUUCUCUAACGAAAUAGUACAUUGUACAACGUCCCUAAGUCCACCCAAGCUUCUUGAAAUUGGGUAGUCGCUGUGGAGCGACGAAAACGUAUCAGGAAAAAAUUGUUCAUAAUGUGACUUCACAAGCAUAUGACAUUCCUGUAUACAAACACGCAUACAGUGCAUCGCAUAUAAUGCAUGCCAACGGCGACAAGACAGAAAUGUCAAGCAAUAAAUGGAUGGGAAAAAACGUUGGCACACUCCCCACUACUCCCCCAUAGAUGGCGCUGUACUGGACAUACAUCACAUUUGAAAAAUAUGGCGGGACAACGAACAUGGUGUGAACGAUGAUGGCCAUUCUCAAUGGAUCGCACAAAAUGGACAACAUCAUCACUUUGGCUUAUCGGACCUGUUACGACGUAACCUCCCGAUGAAGUGAUCAUCGUAAAUAUCAACAGAACAAACAGAAUACAUAACUUAGACUUAAGACAUUGUAAUAAGAAUAGAAAAAUGUUAGAUAUUAGAUGACAUAACAUGUAACCAUACGAUUAAUAAAAA